GAUGAACGCUAACGGUGUGCUUAAUACAUGCAAGUCGAACGGACAAUGUGAAAGUGGCAACACUUUUGCAAAGUCAGUGGCGAACGGGUGAGUAACACGUAGGUAAUCUACCUUAAAGAUCGGGAUAACCUUCCGAAAGGAAGGCUAAUACCGGAUGUUUUAAUUGAUCUUAUGGUUAAUUAAAAAAGGUGCCGCAAGGCCUCCGCUUUAAGAUGAGCCUGCGUCCUAUUAGCUUGUUGGUAAGGUAAUGGCUUACCAAGGCAAUGAUGGGUAGCCGGCCUGAGAGGGUGACCGGCCACACUGGGACUGAGAUACGGCCCAGACUCCUACGGGAGGCAGCAGUAGGGAAUCUUGCGCAAUGGGCGAAAGCCUGACGCAGCGACACCGUGUGAAGGAUGAAGGUCUUCGGAUUGUAAACUUCUGUCAAUUGGAGACGAAGGUAACAGGGUUAAUAGCCUCUGUUACUGACGGUAUUCAAUAAGAAGUCUGGCUAACUCCGUGCCAGCAGCCG
rnacentral:rRNA from 1 species